rnacentral:rRNA from 1 species
ACGCUAGCAACAGGCUUAACACAUGCAAGUCGAGGGGAAACGGCAUUAAGUGCUUGCACUUUUUGGACGUCGACCGGCGCACGGGUGAGUAACGCGUAUCCAACCUUCCCAUGACUAAGGGAUAACCUGCCGAAAGGCAGACUAAUACCUUAUGGUCUUCACUGACGGCAUCAGAUGUGAAGUAAAGAUUUAUCGGUUAUGGAUGGGGAUGCGUCUGAUUAGCUUGUUGGCGGGGUAACGGCCCACCAAGGCAACGAUCAGUAGGGGUUCUGAGAGGAAGGUCCCCCACAUUGGAACUGAGACACGGUCCAAACUCCUACGGGAGGCAGCAGUGAGGAAUAUUGGUCAAUGGGCGAGAGCCUGAACCAGCCAAGUAGCGUGCAGGAUGACGGCCCUAUGGGUUGUAAACUGCUUUUGUAUGGGGAUAAAGUCAAUCACGUGUGAUUGUUUGCAGGUACCAUACGAAUAAGGACCGGCUAAUUCCGUGCCAGCAGCCGCGGUAAUACGGAAGGUCCGGGCGUUAUCCGGAUUUAUUGGGUUUAAAGGGAGCGUAGGCUGGAGAUUAAGUGUGUUGUGAAAUGUAGACGCUCAACGUCUGACUUGCAGCGCAUACUGGUUUCCUUGAGUACGCACAACGUUGGCGGAAUUCGUCGUGUAGCGGUGAAAUGCUUAGAUAUGACGAAGAACUCCGAUUGCGAAGGCAGCUGACGGGAGCGCAACUGACGCUGAAGCUCGAAGGUGCGGGUAUCGAACAGGAUUAGAUACCCUGGUAGUCCGCACAGUAAACGAUGGAUGCCCGCUGUUGGUACUUGGUAUCAGCGGCUAAGCGAAAGCAUUAAGCAUCCCACCUGGGGAGUACGCCGGCAACGGUGAAACUCAAAGGAAUUGACGGGGGCCCGCACAAGCGGAGGAACAUGUGGUUUAAUUC